AAAAUUGACAGCAGACUGGUUCUGAAACACACGAGCUGCUCUCUCCCAGGCCUGGAUCCCCUGGGCCUCCAAGCUGAUGCAAGAAUUUCAGGUGCUGGUCACAUCUAUGGACAGCAUCAGCCUGACCUGCAUAUCCUCAGACUGUGGGAGAAGAUCUGAGCAGCCCGGGGAACCCCACACAGGCAGGGGGGGAACAUUCAAUUUUCACACAGAAAGGCUCCUCAGGGGGGUGAAGAGAGAUCCUCCUCCAGGAUGUUCAGCUUGUGGCUUUCCUCCUCAGCAUCAUCUCCCUGGAUCCUGACGAAAAAACAUCUUCCAUAAUAUCUGCACUGUGGUGGUCCCGUCCCCAG